rnacentral:rRNA from 2 species
CGGAGUGGACGCAUCACUGGUGUUCGGGUUGUCAUGCCAAUGGCACUGCCCGGUAGCUAAAUGCGGAAGAGAUAAGUGCUGAAAGCAUCUAAGCACGAAACUUGCCCCGAGAUGAGUUCUCCCUGAGACUUUAAGUCUCCUGAAGGAACGUUGAAGACGACGACGUUGAUAGGCCGGGUGUGUAAGCGCAGCGAUGCGUUGAGCUAACCGGUACUAAUGAACCGUGAGGCUUAACCUUACAACGCCGAAG